ensembl:lncRNA LINC01270 long intergenic non-protein coding RNA 1270
AGAACUCGGGUAUUAAUGACCCGGAGCCACAUGACGGAGCAUGACACAGCACUUUUGGGCACAAGGCAGGGCCCAGAGGGGUGCGUGGGGGCCGCAGCCCAGCCCCCAAGCCCCGCCAGCGGCUUUACUGGGGUGUAACAAACACACGAUAAACUGCGCAUAUUCCAGUGUUCAUGUGGAUGAGUUUGGACAUAUGCACACACUUCCGAAACCACCAGCACAAUCAAGACAGCAGACAUAUCCAUCGCCCCCAAGGGUGUCCUUGUGUCUUUUUGUCAUUCAUCCCUCCCGGCCGCCCCAUCCACACUCCCAUCGCCUGCCGACUGUGGCUGAUCUGCUUUCUGCGGCUGUGGAUUAGUUUGCGUUCUCUACAAUUUUCUGCUCCUGGAGCUGCCAGGCAGUAAUUAACCCUCACAGCACCCUUCUGAAGUCAGCACUGGAGGCAGACGUGUGAUGAAACACGUUUAUUACAGGAAGCACCAGUUAGCCCAGAUGCUUCUCAUCUUUGGAGUUGAGCUGCAGGCUGGAGACCUGGAAGGCCCUCGCAGCGCCUGCUCCCAUCCUCUCACCUCACGAAAGCGCAGGAAUGUGGGUUUGGAGCCAAUGAAAAGUACUGGAAUCUGGCUCUGCUCUGUGACCCUGGACAAGUCACUGCCCCUCUCUGGGCUUCAGUUUCCUCCUUGCUCCAUGAGGGCAGGGGAUUUUGUCUGUUUCAUUCACAAUGUGUUCCCAGAGCUCAGCACAGUGUCAGGCACACACUAGGUAACAGCACCUCGACUUCCUACUGAAGAACCCCCUCUUCCCUUUUCUCAGUCCAUGAGGCUGGGGGUGCCCAGAGGCCUCUGUCUCCAGGGGUGGACAUGUGACCGGGUCUUGCUCUAGUGAUUGGUCCAGGGAUGGGCACAUGACUGAGCCUGCCCAAUGAAACUUGAUCUUGGGACUUCAGGGUUGGCCAUGAUUUGUGAAGGAGAUGCCAUUUUCCAUUGGAUGGACAGUGAGCAAGUGAACGCUUAGAGAAGAAGAGGACAAAACAAGGGAAAAGCCUGCCUGACAGGAAGCAGCACAGAGCUGGACAGGCUUUGAACUCCUGGAUCCCACUGUACCUGAAAUUAGGCACCUUCAACUUUCUAGUUAUGUGAGCCACUGUCUUUCCCAUUUUUGGCUGAAAACAGUUGGGACUGGCUUUCUGUCCCUUGCAUACAGAAGGUGCUGACUGACCCCUGCCCCAUGGAAGAAGAUACUCCAGGCAGAGGAAAUAGUGUGUAUAGACACCCCUAAGCGAAUGCCAAGCGGGGCACUCAUGUACCAAGAAGAAGGAGGAGGAGGCACCUGGGAGCUGAGCUUAAGAGUUAGUCGGGUGGUCAAGGUGGGAGAAGGGGGUAUCUUUAGCAGAGGGAACAACCAUUGCAAAAGCUUGGAGGGGUGACUAGUUAGUGAAGAUCAACUGUGUGCUGAGCUCGUGUUGGGUGGCAAGGGACACAGACGAAAAGGGCACGGUGGAACCCAGCUACUUCUCACCUGCUCCAGCGCAGUGCAGGCUUGUCUGCUUUUGGAGCCGAGCCUGGACACCUCCGUGUCCUUCCCCCGGCAGAGUGCUGCCAGCACGCUGUCUCAGACUCUCCAGCAUCUCCUGGUUGAUGUGCAUCAUGGGGACCACACAAGAUUAUUUUAUAGGCUGCACAGGCAAAGCAUAAAAUCACCUCGGGUCACAUAGCGAGAGUUAUUCUCUCUGCAAAUUCUUUACAGUCUUUCCUUUAUAUCCAGAAGAGUCUCUGUGUGGUGCUAACUUGCCUCGAAGACCAAAUAAUUGCUAGUCUCCCUUUGUGAAAAGGAGAGCAGGUGUCAGGCUCAUUCAUGUCUCAGGCACACAAUUGUAUCUAGCUAGACUUUUCAAAAUGUCCUAUAGAGCUGCAGCACAUAUGAAUGAGGUGUCCAGCUGGUCCCAAACCUGUAAUCGGCACCCCAGUGAGCAGACUGGACAUCCCCACCCCCACAGCUGCCCUUUCUCCCCUCCACUCAUGUUCCCUCUAGGGCCACCACGAUCCCGACUUGUAUCACCACAGAUGAGUUUCACAUGUUUUUGAAUUUUACAUCUUAUCUGUUUUCUGUUCCUAUACAAGUUUGCCUUUUUUGAAUUCCAUAUAAGUGGGAUUCUACAAUGUGUUAUCUCAAUUUGAGUCUGUUUUUUUUUUCCUGCUCAGCAUGAUGUUUUUGAGAUGCAUAUAUGCGGUUUUGUGUAUCUGUAGAUGGUUCUUUUUUAUUGCAGAAUAAUGUUCCAGGGUAUGGAUGUACCAAAGCUUGUUCAUCCAUUCACCAGCUGAGGGAUAUUUGGACUGUUUCCAGUUUUCAGCCAUUAUAAAUAAAGCCACUAGAAACAUUUGCAAACAGGUUUUUAUGUGAACAUAAAUUUUUGUUUAUCUUGGGUAAAUUUCUAGGAGUGGAAUUGCUGGGCCAGGUGGCCAAGUGUAUGUUUCACUUUAUCAGAAACCGCUGAGCUGUUUUCCAAGGUGUCUGUACCAUUUUUCAUCCCUACCAGCAAUGUAUGAAAGUGUCAGUUGCUUCGUAUUCUCACCAGCACUUGGUGGUGUUAGUUUUUUGUGUGUGUACAUGUGUUUUACUUUUAGUCAUUCAAAUAGGUGAUAAUAGUAUCUCAUUGUGGUGUUAGUUUGCAUUUCCCUAAUGACUAAUGAUGUUGAACAUCUUUGUAUGUGUUUCUUUGCCAUCCGUAUAUUUUCUUUGGUGUAGUAUCUGUUCAAACUUUAUGUCAGUUAAAAAAAAAGACCCAAUUGUUUUCUUCUUAAUAGAUUUGGAGAGUUCUUUAUAUAUAUUCUGGAUACUAGUCAAGCCUUUGUGAAAUAUGUGAUUUGCAAAUAUUUUCUCCUGUUCUGUGGCUUGUCUUUUUAUUCUUUCAAUAGGUAGACUUUAAUAACAUCGUUUUGUUUUCUUUUUAA